rnacentral:tRNA from 1 species
GAGGAUGUAGCUCAUUGGUAGAGUGCGUGCUUAGCAUGCAUGAGGUUCUGGGUUCAAUCCCCAGUACCUCCA